CUGCCUCUUUGCCAGCUUCUUGUUUUUCUUUAAUGUUGUUAUUCACUGUUCCAUUUUCAGCCAGUAAUAGGCUGAAAAAGCAACCAGUUAAAUUCCAUUUUCUUUACUUUGCUGCUUGUGAAAUUGUUACUUAAAAUCAAGAUGUUGCUUACUGUGAAGAGCUGAUAAAGGCUUAGUAUGCUAUGGUCUUGUUUGAAUAUCAAAAUACAGAUAUUUGACACCUCUAUCAAAAUGAGAUCACAUGAGAAUAAUAUUUCUCUGUUCAAAUCCUGUUUUAUUUUUGCAUGAUAAAUGCUUGAAAUAGGCCCUUUUGCAAAGUAGAUCUCCCCAUUAAUUUUCUAGUGGUCAUUAUAAAAUAACAAUUAUGUUUAUAUUGAGAAUAUUCCACUUAAGAGUUCUUGCUGAUAACUGUCUAAAUGAUGAUGAUGGUGGAUAUGUUUCUUUGCAAAGCACUGAUGGAAUCUUAGUAUCAGAGGCCAUUUUACCUUUCUUAAUAUCAACUGCCUGAUCUUAACAGUUGUUAUUUUAGAUACUUUCAAUAUUAAACUGUUGACUGAGACUCUAAAAGCUUAGAAGAGAGGGAUAAAUUAUUUGUUUUUAGUUUGCUUUAUAAACUAGUGAGAUUUUCCAGGGACCCAGGCAAAAAGCAGCUUUCAGGGAAAGGAAGGCGAUAUUAGACCAAGAAUUAGAAUAGGUCUUUUGGAGUUUUGGUAUUCUCACUGGUAAAAGGAAGGGGUUGGAUUAAAUCAUUUCUUAAAACAACCUUCUUUCUGCCUCUAUUAUUGUUUUACUAUGCAUCUCCUGUGAUCAGUUUCCACAUCACCUGCAUAAUUCUCAGUGAGGGGAGGGAAUGCAGGGCAGAGUGGCCAUAUGGAGCUUGAAAAGCUCUCUUCCCUGAAAAGUUUCUGAUCUGACCCCAGAGGAGUUACUCCAUCCCUACCCAUGAAUGAGAUGCUUAAGUUAGAUGAUUUCUGAGGUCUUUUCUAAUUUUUAAGAUUUUUAUCAUUUUCUGUUUCAUAAGGCUUUCAGCUAGCAGCCUUAAUAAAAACCAGUGCCUGGAACAUGACCUGGCCAGUAGUGACACUCAGUAAAUGUUGAGGGAAUAAAUGAGUGAAACACACCAGAAACAAAUGCAUUUGAGUGCUUUUACACACGAUGCUAGUACUUAAUGUAGAUUACCUCAUUUAAUCCUAUCACAAUGCCAAAGUAGAUGUUUCAACCCCCAUUAAGUAAAUGAGGAGACUGAAUAGCUUCCUUAAAGUCACUUACCUAGUAAAUGAGAAAGCCGAGAUUCAAACCCAGAUUAAUUUCACUCCAAAGAUUGAUCUUUGUGAUAUAUUGCUAUUUUUAAAAUUAAUUUGUGUCCUAGCAAUGUUGUCUUUCCAGGAUACCUUUUGUUAGAAAAAUUAAAAUUUUCUUCCUGUCAUUCUCUUUUGAAAAGCUUAGAGACCAUGCAUUUCAGGUUUCGAGUGACAAACCAACAUCUAGUUGUUCUCCUAAAAGUGAAAUUGUCAACUUAUGAGUUAUAUUUUGUCUCUAAAGUGUUAAUGGAAAACAAUAUUUAUGUGCCUUUCCAAGAAGUAUGCAAAUAGCUUACUCAUCUCUUUAGGCCAAACUUAGAAUCCAAUAUUGACUUUCUAGUGUUAGUAUAGUAAAGAGAUUGGCCAUUAGUUAACCAGUUCAGCUACCGUUGUUAGACAUUUGUGUUGUUUAUAGUUUGGAGCUAUCAUGAAUAGCACUGCUAUGGUGUUUUUCAUCAAUGUCUUUAUGCAUUUCUAUGGGGUAUAUGUCUGGAAAUGGGAUUAUUAAGUCAUAACAUAUGCAUACUUAAUACUGUACUGUCAAAUAGUUCUUCAAAGUUGUAUCAAUUUACACUCAGCAGUGUGUGAGAAUUCUGGGUGCUCUAUUUCUUUGCUGGUAGUUAUCAUUCAUACUGAAUCUUUUUUUAUUUUAGCCAUGUGGAUAGGUGCAUAGUGGUAUUGCAAUUUUGACUUUAAUUUACAUUUUUCUACUGAUGUGAAGGUGAAUUUCUUUUUGAUAUAUAUUUGACCAUUGGAUGUAAUUUUAUGAAAUGCCUACCUUUUGCUUAUUGAUCUAUAAGAGUUCUUUAUCUAUCCUAGUUAUGAAUCUUUUUUUGGUCAUGUAUAUUUGCAAAUAUCUUCUCCUAUGCCAUCUUGCUUUUUUUACUGUCUUAAUGAUUUUUUAUUAAAAUGAGCUUUAAAUUUUAAUGUAAUCUAGCUUAUGAAAUCUUUUCCUACCCCUAGAUAUUUUGUUUUCUUUUCUGAAAAUUAUUAUUUUAUCUUUUACAGAUAGAUCUAUGAUCCAUCUGGAAUUUAUUUUUGUGGACGGUGUGAGAUAGAUACCAAGAUUCAUUCUUUUCAGUAUGGAUAUCUAGUUAUCCCAGCACCAGUGUCUUUUAUUGUAUAGAAUUAUGUUGGAGGUAAUUAGUAUCAUAUCAAUACCAUUUGGGGUAGUAUAUUAAUUUUCUAGGGCUAUCAAAACAAGUUACUGCAAACUUGAUGUCGUAAAAUAACAGAAAUGUGUUCUCUCAUAGCUAUGGAAGCUAGAAGGACAAAAUCAAGGUAUUGGCAGAAUAAGGUUUGUCCUUCUGAGGAAGAAUCUAUUCCGUGCCCCUCUCCUAACUUCAAGUGAUGGCCAGCAAUCCUUGAUAUUCCUGGGCAUGUAGGUGCCUCACCAUGGCCUUUGCCUCUGUCAACACAGUGUUCUCCCUGUGUUUCUGUGUCCAAAUUUCCCGAUUCUUAGAUUAGGGCCCACCAUAAUCCAGUAUGACCUCAUCUUAACUUGAUUGUACCUGCAAAGACCCUGUUCCUAAAUAAGGUCAUAUUCAUAGGUUUCAGGAAGACACAAAAUUUGAGGGAAUACUAUUCAACCUAUUACAGGUAGCAAUAAAUAAUAUUACUGUGUAUCACUCACUUUUUUUCACUAUUAAAGGGCGGUGUUGGUUCUGAAUAUACACUAUGAGGAGGCAGAGUAUCUUCUGAUUCUGAAGCCGCCCAGUUAAACUUCAUAAUGGCAGAAGCCAGUCUUCUCCUUGCCUCUCUGUUAACUCAGUUUAGAGCCUAGUGCUCAGGAAGCACUUGAUACUUACCUCUUCCUUCAACUGCAUCUUCAUACCAGAUGAUUUCCAGCUUUCUGAGCAGGUAUGUGUUUGUUAGGAACAUACCUCAAGGAGAGAUCCAAGGCACUGAUGGAUAGAGGGCAAAGGCAGAAGGCUUAGUAUGUGUUUCCAAGAUUAGAUGCCCUUUUACUGCUGUAUGUCUUCAUAUGAUUAGCUAAAAGCCCAGUUAACUUUAGUUCAUCAAGAGGGAGAAUGUGUCUCUUUAACAUUCUUAUUCUAAUGUUAGGGCAUUCUGGUAGCAUCAAAACUCUGAAACUAGGAAAUCUGACACUCUACAGUUAGGAAUUAGGAUGGCAGACAUUUCUGAAUCCUUGGAUACAAUGUUCAGAUGUAUUAGUGUCUAAGACUAUUUUCUAAUUUAACUUCUAUAUCAUUGUAACCAGAGCAUUAUAUACAUUUAUUGGUCAUUUUGUUAUGUAGGCUGCACAUGACUUAUGCUGCAUUUUGUGAUGCUGUGGUGUUGGGUAGGGUCUGGAGGCACAUUUCAAUUGUGUUAAAUUGUUCAUAUCUGAUGUUAACAUCUGAUACUAGCCAUAUUCCUGUUUUAUCACUUACAAAUCUGUCAUUCUUUUACAUAUGAGGCAUUGGUGGGAUAAACCUUUUGAAAUAAAAACUGAUAUUUCACUUUUAAGAAAUUCAGUUGACCCAGGGAAGAACCCCCUGGGCAUAUCAGUGUAAAAUUAAAGCAGUAAAUCAAAAUAUAAUAUACAGCAUAAGGGCUACCAUCUUUCCCUGUCUGCUUCAUUUUUAAAAUAAUUUUAUAUUAUUGUUGUUGUUACAUUUUAUUACAAAUCCAGUGUUUGUAGCUUGUGUAACCCAUCAAUUUAUUUUCUCUCUCCACUUGCCAUUUCACUUUGUAAAAUCAUACGGUUGGAUUCUAUUGUUGAAUGAGCUUAAAUCAAAAAAAAAUUAAUUCGGAGUCAUAGAAAAACAUUUCAUUUUAUUUCUAAAAGGGAAAGGUAACUUGAAGCACAUGCUAUGCUUCAUUAAUAUUAAAAAUAAACCCGGAUUACUUAUAAAAAUGAUAUAACAGCAGGAUUUUUCUAAAAAUAUAAUUAUUUUUUAAAAAUAAAAUGUUUUAUGCUAUAAUUUGAGAUAUAUUUAAACAACUAUUUUGAGAACUCAUCUUAAUGAUUUAGUACAGAGACUAGUAAAAUUGCUCACUGUAAUUCAGUGGUGUAACUGCUCAGGAAUUAGCCAUAGCCAUCUUCAAGUGUCAGAUUUCAUUUGCUUCCAGGACUUUAAGUGCCAUUUUUUCCAUAGCUGCCUUUGUGUUUUAGUAAACUCUCAAUGCGUAUUGCCAUUGUUCUUCACUGAGUCUUAAAACAUAGGAUUUCAAGCAUGUGAUUUUUUUCUUACAUUCUUCAUUUGUUUCUAUUUGACAGUCAUAAGUAGGUUCUAAAUUUCUUUUUUCUCCAGUAAUUUGGGAUGGUUUCUAUUAUAAUGUUAUUGAGAAGGUAAGGCCAAUGAAGACACUGUAUAGUAAUGAAGUCAGGUGUGUCCAGUGGGAUUGUCUCCAUUGCUUGUCUGUUGCUUGCAUUGUCAGUCAGCAUAGCAAAUAUUUUUCCACUUCAUGUUCUCCUGAUGACUCUAAAGCUUUACCACUUAUGCAUUCCACAAGGUGUCUGUUCUGUGUUUUAUUGCUUUUGUUAACAAACACAAGUGAGUUCACAUGUUGUUACAAACCUUGAGUCUUUUUCCUUGCAGAUUCUUUUUUUUCAUUCUCAAAUUCAACUCCACAAGAAGCUUAUUCAGAGUAAGUCAUUGCUAGGAAAAUGGCCUCAAUAGUUUAAAAGUUUUCAAAUUUGAUUCAUUUUAGGUAUUGGCAGUGGUAUUCAGUGGUACUCACUGUCAAUACCUAAAAGAAAGGAAGAAAGCAAUGAUCUGUGAAGAACUUGAGCUAAACUUCUGAAGUUAAGUGUUUUUGUAUGUGGUCAUCUGUGGUACAUGAUUGCUUGAGACGAGAUGUGACAAUGGUGGUGGAGGUAAAGAAGUAUCAGCGGGAAGAAAUACACCCGUGCUGAUUCCUGCAGAGGGGUCAUCUGUUGAAAUUUUUUCAUUUUAAUUUUCCUUAUAUAGCCAUGAAGGUUUUCUAAAGAAUACCUAAAAACAUUUUUUAUAUCAGAAUGUUUGUUCCUUCUAGUGGCAUUCAUAAAAGUAUAUUUCAUAUGAUGCUUUUUAAAUCUCAUGUUUCCUCACCCCUCCCCUUGCACAACUUGCAGUAUGGAAAUACUUUCACAUACCAUUAACAGCUUUGGUGUUUUUAAGUGGAGAAAAAUUGUUUGUUAGUACCUUAAUACUGCAAGUAUACAUUUAGCAAUGACAUCCCAUACCAAUAGACGAGAUAGUAGAUGAUAUUAAUGAAUAACUAUUAGUUGUCUUAAGUGUGAUAAGGUAUUAUGGUUCUGUAAGAGAAUGUUCUGAUAUCUGUGAGUUGCAUGCCAAAGUAUUUAUAAAUGAAAUAUGAUAUCUAUAUCUCACUUUCAUAUCGUUCAGCUAAAACAAGAAAAAAACAAAUGUGUGUGUAUAUGU